GAAUUUUGCGCAAUGGACGAAAGUCUGACGCAGCAACGCCGCGUGAGGGAUGACGGCCUUCGGGUUGUAAACCACUGUCGGGAGGGACGAAGAUCUGACGGUACCUCCAAAGGAAGCACCGGCUAACUCUGUGCCAGCAGCCGCGGUAAUACAGAGGGUGCGAGCGUUGUCCGGAAUCACUGGGCGUAAAGGGCGCGUAGGCGGCCCGAUAAGUAGGGGGUGAAAUCUUGCGGCUUAACCGCAAGGCUGCCUUCUAAACUGUCGGGCUGGAGCACGGUAGAGGCAGAUGGAAUUCCCGGUGUAGCGGUGGAAUGCGUAGAGAUCGGGAAGAACACCAGUGGCGAAGGCGGUCUGCUGGGCCGUUGCUGACGCUGAGGCGCGACAGCGUGGGGAGCAAAC
rnacentral:rRNA from 1 species